CCUACGGGCGGCAGCAGGGAGGAAUAUUGGUCAAUGGGCGAGAGCCUGAACCAGCCAAGUCGCGUGAAGGAUGACGGCCCUACGGGUGGUAAACUUCUUUUGUCAGGGAGCAAUUGAGUCCACGUGUGGUCUUAGCGAGAGUACCUGAAGAAAAAGCAUCGGCGAACCCCGUGCCAGCAGCCGCGGUAAUACGGAGGAUGCGAGCGUUAUCCGGAUUGAUUGGGUUUAAAGGGUGCGUAGGCGGAAUAUCAAGUCCACGGUAAAAAUUCGGGGCUCAACCCCGUCGUGCCGUUGAAACUGAUGUUCUUGAGUGCUGGAGAGGAAGGUGGAAUUCCUAGUGUAGCGGUGAAAUGCGUAGAUAUUAGGAGGAACA
rnacentral:rRNA from 1 species